rnacentral:lncRNA from 1 species
GAGCUGCUGCUUUCCAAGCCACGGCCUGAUGCACCAGGUCAUCCAGGGAGGAGGACGUGGAAUCCGUAUUGGUAUCCCGUUAAUGCCUGGGAGGAGCUGAGAGCACGUGUCUUGCAAGGGCAGGUCUCCAACAAGACACCACCUCAGGCAACCACGAGCUGUCGUCUGGUCUCCAGCUAUUCCAUUUUUGGGAUUUAAUCAUAUGGAAUUGCUCUAAUUAACCUUUUAUUUUCAUGAGUAAACACAUUGGGACAGCUCCUUCAACCAUCCAUCAGUGGAUGCUCCAUGCAUCCAUCAGUGCUCUGUCAAGCAUCCAUCAAAGGAUGAUGGAAGGAGGAUGGAGAACUUUGAUGCCCAUCAGCAAGCAGAGACCUAUUGCUAUGGAUGGGGAGGGAAGAUGAGCUCCCUCCCCAGGGACCUUCUAAAAACACAUGCUGGGAAGCACAGUUUGUUGAUCCUGGAGGAAUGGAUGUGCCUGGGGCGGGGGGGUUUGGAAUCCCAGGCCAAGGAUACUGUAAAAUACCUGGAUGUGUAUAGAAGGAUUUCACUAGAAAUACGGAAUUUUAUAUCCUAAAUUAUUUUUGUACGUUUUUAGGUCAGGAACCUUUUGGAUAAUGGAUUUGGAUCUAAACUGAGCCAAGUUCUUUCCGUACUGUUUGUGUGUCAAUAAAAUUCCCAAGGUUUCUUGUUGUCCAGUUGGGUCCAGAGCCCGUCAUUAGCAGGUGGAUGGGAUUCCUUCCUCCAGGAGCCUCCAGUGCCAGAGGGGAAGGAUGCCAUGGAAUGUUUCCCACAGGGGCACAUGGAAAGGUCACUGCAGAGUAACUGAAUAUCAGUGUGGAGCGAGUGGACCUCGAGGGAGAGGGAAUGCUCCAGACGAGGUCAGUGGUGGAGCAAGGUCCAGCCAGAUGGGACAACAAGACCAUGGACACCAGAGAGGGGUGACGAGCUUCUGCCUGGAGCCCAAUCGCUGGAGCAAAGGUGGCUUCAAGGUGUUGAACCAGCUCCAAAUCCCUUCGUGCUCACUCACAGGGCGAGCUCACACGUCCCUUUGGGCUUCCUGGGUGUAGGGCUCGGUAGCACAAAGGGUUAAACACACGGAGUUCUGAGGAACUGCAGGAAAAGGGACAUUCCUUGAUCCCUCGCUCCCCCCUUG